UCACCUACUUGGACGGGGUGUAUGAGUGCUUGUGUAGGCUCAUGGCCUAGGCUGUUGACCUCCAUUGCACAUUGCUAAGGGCAGCCGCCUAUGAUAUCCUCAAGUGGGAAAGUCUACGUCAUAAUUUAUGGUAGUGGAGGCCUGCGUUCGCGCAACCCAUGU